rnacentral:rRNA from 1 species
GACGAACGCUGGCGGCGUGCUUAACACAUGCAAGUCGAGCGGAAAGGCCCUUCGGGGUACUCGAGCGGCGAACGGGUGAGUAACACGUGAGUAAUCUGCCCUUCACUCUGGGAUAGCCACCGGAAACGGUGAUUAAUACCGGAUACGACCAAUCCCUGCAUGGGGUGUUGGUGGAAACUUUUUUGGGUGGGGGAUGUGCUCGCGGCCUAUCAGCUUGUUGGUGGGGUAAUGGCCUACCAAGGCUUCGACGGGUAGCCGGCCUGAGAGGGUGACCGGCCACACUGGGACUGAGACACGGCCCAGACUCCUACGGGAGGCAGCAGUAGGGAAUAUUGGACAAUGGGCGGAAGCCUGAUCCAGCAACGCCGCGUGAGGGAUGACGGCCUUCGGGUUGUAAACCUCUUUCAGCACCGACGAAGCGCAAGUGACGGUAGGUGCAGAAGAAGGACCGGCCAACUACGUGCCAGCAGCCGCAGUAAAAC